GCCUGGGUGGCUCAGUCGGUUAAGCGUCUGACUUUGGCUCAGGUCAUGAUCUCAGGCUCCUGGGAUCGAGUCCCACAUCGGGCU
rnacentral:tRNA from 1 species